GUUUAUCUGUGCCAUCGGAUUUUGAAUUCGAAUUUGUAGCACUGAAUUUUUUUACAUCCAAUUUUUAACACUGAAUUUUUUUUGCAUCUAAAUCAGACUUUGAAUUUUAAAAGCCAUCGAAUUUCUAGCACUGAAUUUUUUUUUCCUAAGACAUUUUUUUCAAUGUCUCAAAAAAUUCAGUGUAAAAAAAUUCAAUGUCUUAAAAAAUUCAGUGUAAAAAAAUUCGACAUCUCAAAAAAUUCAAUGUAAAAAAAUUCAAUGUCUAAAAAAAUUCAGUGUAAAAAAAUUCGAUGUCUCCAAAAAUUCAGUGUAAAAAUAUUCAGCGCGGACAUCCGGGGUAACCAAGGGAGAAGUAAUCGAUCCCUGUAUCAAAUCAUCCAACGUUCAGCCAAUCAAGUUACGCUCCAUUGGUCAUGUGACGUCGAAACAGGAACGUCGUGAAGUUCAAAGGUGAGCUCCGGUCAGAGCUCAGGAUGGCCCAAAACACAAAUAAUAACGCUUCGGAACUCCUGCUUAAUCAUCUUUUAGAAAGACUUCGCUCUCGAUUGGAGCAUAUUCUGGGACGCAUGCCUCUUGAUCUGGACUUCUUAGAGUUCACUUGCACACAAGAACUUGUGUUAUUAAAUGCUGUAUCCAGUCAAGUAA